AGAUUCAAACUCCACUACAUACAUAUAUAUGGGGAGAUAGAAGCUCCAACUUGGUUUUACAGUGAAAACGGCAGGAACUUCAAAACGGCACUUGGAAAGAGACUGUAAAACCAGAG